ACUUGUGAAUGUUUGUGGCAAUAAUCGAGGCAAUAAUAUUGGUUUGUGGUGAAUAGUUGAGCAUUUUUCAUAUACACUGUGCAUUUUUCCAUAUUCUGGAACAGGAAUAGGAUAGUUUGGAGACUGGAGCUUGCUCCUAAUGUUCCUUACCUAUCCUCUGGACCCACCUUUGUUGCGCCCACACCAUUGAGCAUUGAUGUUGAUUUUUCUCAGUGGACUCCGGAGUCUGACGUCCUAACUAGCUGCUCUUCGGCUUUUUAGCAGUCUUCCACACACUAUCUCUUCAGUGGGCUAGCCCGCGUUCUUGAGCCUCCAUUUGAUUUAUUGAUUGUGGAGCGUAGUUACACGUUUAGGAAAUGAGUGUAGUAGCUAUCCUGAAAAGUAAAGGAGAGGCAUAUGGAGAAACAAUUGAAUCAAGUGCUAUCGGAGGCCAGCCAUUGUCAAGCAGACUUUCUGAGGUGCAGCAGAAAAUAAAUGAAAAGCUGACAGCUUUAGUUGAAAAGAAACCAGGAACAAACGGGACGGACCAGGCCGGCGGUGAGGACCAGAAAGAUGUCCCGGAGGAGGACGACGAGGAAGACGAUAUUAUCGAUACCGUGCCUCCAAAGAAGAGAAAAACGUGACGUGAUGACUAUGCGAAGGCGACGGGGCUGGAUUGUUAUGCAUCAUUUUUGUAAAUAAAACGUGCUCGUGAUCGCGA
rnacentral:lncRNA from 1 species